GUUGACUUUUCAGCUACAUGCUACUGUAGGUUAUUCUCCCAUGCUACUGUAGGUUACUCUCCCAUGCUACUGUAGGUUACUCUCAUGCUACAGUAGGUUACUCUCCCAUGCUACAGUAGGUUACUCUCCCAUGCUACAGUAGGUUACUCUCUCCCAUGCUACUGUAGGUUACUCUCCCAUGCUACUGUAGGUUACUCUCUCAUGCUACUGUAGGUUACUCUCCCAUGCUACUGUAGGUUACUCUCCCAUGCUACUGUAGGUUACUCUCCCAUGCUACUGUAGGUUACUCUCAUGCUACAGUAGGUUACUCUCCCAUGCUACAGUAGGUUACUCUCCCAUGCUACAGUAGGUUACUCUCUCCCAUGCUACUGUAGGUUACUCUCCCAUGCUACUGUAGGUUACUCUCUCAUGCUACUGUAGGUUACUCUCCCAUGCUACUGUAGGUUACUCUCCCAUGCUACAGUAGGUUACUCUCCCAUAUGACUGUAGGUUACUCUCCCAUGCUACUGUAGGUUACUCUCCCAAGCUACUGUAGGUUACUCUCCCAUGCUACUGUAGGUUACUCUCCCAUGCUACUGUAGGUUACUCUCCCAAGCUACUGUAGGUUACUCUCCCAUGCUACUGUAGGUUACUCUCCCAUGCUACUGUAGGUUACUCUCCCAUGCUACUGUAGGAUAAUAUCUGGAUUGUUUCAUAAUAACUCUUGUCUGGUGUGGGAUGUGCAGUUCCGGAGUGCAGAGAAUAACUUGUACUGAUGUGGAUUGGAGCAAACAAACCAUCUACAUAGUGGUGAUGUGUACGUUUUAGAUUAUAUUAUUACUAUUAUUUUAUUAAG
rnacentral:lncRNA from 1 species